AGAUUAAGUUAUUAAGGGCGCACGGUGGAUGCCUUGGCACUAGAAGCCGAUGAAGGACGUUACUAACGACGAUAUGCUUUGGGUAGCUGUAAGUAAGCGUUGAUCCAGAGAUUUCCGAAUGGGGGAACCCAGCAUGAGUUAUGUCAUGUUAUCGACAUGUGAAUUUAUAGCAUGUCAGAAGGCAGACCCGGAGAACUGAAACAUCUUAGUACCCGGAGGAAGAGAAAGAAAAAUCGAUUCCCUGAGUAGCGGCGAGCGAAACGGGAAGAGCCCAAACCAACAAGCUUGCUUGUUGGGGUUGUAGGACACUCUAUACGGAGUUACAAAAGAACAUGUUAGACGAAUCAUCUGGAAAGAUGAAUCAAAGAAGGUAAUAAUCCUGUAGUCGAAAACAUAUUCUCUCUUGAGUGGAUCCUGAGUACGACGGAGCACGUGAAAUUCCGUCGGAAUCUGGGAGGACCAUCUCCUAAGGCUAAAUACUCUCUAGUGACCGAUAGUGAACCAGUACCGUGAGGGAAAGGUGAAAAGUACCCCGGAAGGGGAGUGAAAGAGAACUUGAAACCGUGUGCUUACAAGUAGUCAGAGCCCGUUAAUGGGUGAUGGCGUGCCUUUUGUAGAAUGAACCGGCGAGUUACGAUCUGAUGCAAGGUUAAGCAGCAAAUGUGGAGCCGCAGCGAAAGCGAGUCUGAAUAGGGCGUUGAGUAUUUGGUCGUAGACCCGAAACCAGGUGAUCUACCCUUGGUCAGGUUGAAGUUCAGGUAACACUGAAUGGAGGACCGAACCGACUUACGUUGAAAAGUGAGCGGAUGAACUGAGGGUAGCGGAGAAAUUCCAAUCGAACUUGGAGAUAGCUGGUUCUCUCCGAAAUAGCUUUAGGGCUAGCCUCAAGUGAUGAUUAUUGGAGGUAGAGCACUGUUUGGACGAGGGGCCCCUCUCGGGUUACCGAAUUCAGACAAACUCCGAAUGCCAAUUAAUUUAACUUGGGAGUCAGAACAUGGGUGAUAAGGUCCGUGUUCGAAAGGGAAACAGCCCAGACCACCAGCUAAGGUCCCAAAAUAUAUGUUAAGUGGAAAAGGAUGUGGCGUUGCCCAGACAACUAGGAUGUUGGCUUAGAAGCAGCCAUCAUUUAAAGAGUGCGUAAUAGCUCACUAGUCGAGUGACACUGCGCCGAAAAUGUACCGGGGCUAAACAUAUUACCGAAGCUGUGGAUUGUCCUUUGGACAAUGGUAGGAGAGCGUUCUAAGGGCGUCGAAGCAUGAUCGCAAGGACAUGUGGAGCGCUUAGAAGUGAGAAUGCCGGUGUGAGUAGCGAAAGACGGGUGAGAAUCCCGUCCACCGAUUGACUAAGGUUUCCAGAGGAAGGCUCGUCCGCUCUGGGUUAGUCGGGUCCUAAGCUGAGGCCGACAGGCGUAGGCGAUGGAUAACAGGUUGAUAUUCCUGUACCACCUAGUAUCGUUUUAAUCGAUGGGGGGACGCAGUAGGAUAGGCGAAGCGUGCUGUUGGAGUGCACGUCCAAGCAGUAAGGCUGAGUGUUAGGCAAAUCCGGCACUCAUAAGGCUGAGCUGUGAUGGGGAGAGGAAAUUGUUUCCUCGAGUCGUUGAUUUCACACUGCCGAGAAAAGUCUCUAGAUAGAUAACAGGUGCCCGUACCGCAAACCGACACAGGUAGUCAAGAUGAGAAUUCUAAGGUGAGCGAGCGAACUCUCGUUAAGGAACUCGGCAAAAUG
rnacentral:rRNA from 1 species